ensembl:lncRNA
CACAUCGCCGUGCAGAGGAGUGCCUCCUGCAGCACGGAAAAGGACGUGGAAGGAGGGAGGAAACGCCUCUGGUCAGGGCAGCUCUGAGGCUGCCGGGCCGCUUUGGGCCACGGGUGUUUUUCUCAUGCAACGAACAGCCUUUGAGAAGAUCGGUCCUGGAGCGGCUCCCCGCCCGGCAGCGCAGGCAGCUCAGGUUUCGUGGCUGCAGAGGCAAACAGGAGCUUCUGUUGAACAACAUAAAGCUGGUGGGAGGAGGAGAAAGCCGCUGCUGCUAGCUGGGUCCUCGCGCUCAUUUGGGAAGUUGAACCUUUUGGUAAUGAAAACUUCUUUCUGAUGAAACAGCCAUUAUUUUUGGCAGUAACACAGCAAUGGCUCUGAUCUGAGGAGCUCCAGCCAGCUCAUCUGCCGUAGGUGGAACUGAUGCCGAGGCUUAGCUCCGUGCUUGGAUUUGUCAGUGCUUGCUCACGUUUGCUCCAGUCCCCGUGCAAACCCCCUGCGAGGUGCUCAGCUUGGUGUGCUCCAGGAAACCACCGCCUCUACUGCCAUGGACAGAGAUGAACGGGGCAAUGCCCAUCUCAGCUGUCACUUUACCAGUCAGGUGGCUUUGCACUGUGCCAGGCAGGAUCAGAUGAGCUGUGCCAGCAGUGACAGCAGCAGGUUGGAAAUGGGGCUCUCGGUACUCGCAGGUCUCCGGGAGCAGAGCUGGUGCUGCCCGCGCUGCGCAGCGGUGUCGGCUUCCCAAGGAGGAGCCGCUCUUAAUGCCCGCAGCCACGGGUGGCUGCUGACGGGAGAGGGGCUGCCACAAAGGUCACUUCUUGAGGGAAGAGAACCCUAAAAGCACUCCGAGCACGAGCUCCUCUCUCCCAGGAGGUUAAGCCUGGAUCUGAUCCCUCUCGGAUGAGGUUGGGGUGAUUUGCCUGGGGGAGGUUUUCACCCAGCAGCCCUUCCAGUACCGCAGGUGUGCACAGUGUGACUGCGGGGGGCUUUGGGCAGUGGGAAUUCAGCCCCACCUCUUUG